UCCGCUUUGUGUGCGGCAGUCUCCUUAGAUUUGCAACUAAGGACGGGGGUUGCGCUCGUUGCGGGACUUAACCCAACACCUCACGGCACGAGCUGACGACAGCCAUGCACCACCUGUGAAGGUGCCCCGAAGGGAGACCGUGUUUCCACGGCUGUCACCUACAUGUCAAGCCCAGGUAAGGUUCUUCGCGUUGCGUCGAAUUGAACCACAUGCUCCGCUGCUUGUGCGGGUCCCCGUCAAUUCCUUUGAGUUUUAGCCUUGCGGCCGUACUCCCCAGGCGGGGCACUUAAUGCGUUAGCGACGGCACGGGAGGAGUCGACACCUCCCACACCUAGUGCCCAUCGUUUACGGUAUGGACUAC
rnacentral:misc_RNA from 1 species